CGGAACAGCUGCAUUUUAAAAUCACGAAUUCGCGGUCUAAUUUUUAUCCACAGAACAAAGCCAAAGCCGUCCUGGCUCUAUUUCCCAGACGAUACACGUAUAUGCGACUUCGUGUUGCGCAUCUGCCAGACCGCGACUCGAUACGAGUAAAAAAUCUGUUAUAUCUGUAUAUAGACUUUAUCGAAUUUUCAUAACACUCCGUGUUUCUCAUGAUUUCAUUUGCCAGAGAUCUACAACAUUUUCAGGCUUACACUGCUGGAUAUAUCCCCGGAGCUAGCAGCUACGUAUGAACAUACACGAACGAAUUUCUUCAGAGCACGUACUGCCGUUAUUUCGUCGAGGCUUUUUCGGGCGACGCGUGCAUCGCUGCCAAGUGAUUUUUCCUUGAGUUAACUGUAUCGACCGACAGUGAAUUACUCCAAGAGACUGACUCCCCCUCUCCGCACCUUUCCCGAGAGGGAAAGAAAGGAUUACGUGAGAGAUUCUGUACUUCCUGCUUCGAAAGCUACCUAAUUCCCUUCUGACUAUUUUCUCACAAAAGGACUUACAGCUAACCGGGCCAUUGGCUGUACUCGAUUCUCAUUCGUCAUUGGAUCGCCUUAAGCUUUAAUCGAAUACCUACAAUUUCCCGGUAUUUUGUAUUCACUGUAGAAAUUAGAGCGAAUGGCGCGAGUACAGCGUGAAUUUAUUAGCGAUUAAUUUAUCAAGUCAUUUUGAGGUUAAGAAUUAAGAAAAUUCAUAUCGACGAAGAACAAGGACCAUCAGAACCGCAUGCGGUUCACGUAAUCAUCCUGCAAAUAGUUGAGGAUCCUUAUGGCAAUUGCAUCAGUGGAGAAUUAGUGUUGCACAACUCCACGUGAGCAGCUUUAACACGUGGGACUUUUCGCACGCUCUUAUAAUGUCCUACGGUAUGCGGAUUUACGCGAACAUCGAUUUUCGCAAGUUGAACGACUAACCGGAAGCUGCGGAUGGGUCUGUGGUUCCCGACGAUCCCCGCUACAUUUCACAAUCAUGGAAUUGUAC